UACGUAUGUCGCAAGCGUUAUCCGGAUUUAUUGGGCGUAAAGCGCGUCUAGGCGGUUUGGUAAGUCUGAUGUGAAAAUGCGGGGCUCAACUCCGUAUUGCGUUGGAAACUGUCAAACUAGAGUACUGGAGAGGUGGGCGGAACUACAAGUGUAGAGGUGAAAUUCGUAGAUAUUUGUAGGAAUGCCGAUGGCGAAGGCAGCCCACUGGACAGAUACUGACGCUAAAGCGCGAAAGCGUGGGUAGCAAACAGG
rnacentral:rRNA from 1 species